rnacentral:rRNA from 1 species
GACGAACGCUGGCGGCGUGCUUAACACAUGCAAGUCGAGCGGUAAGGCCCUUUCGGGGGUACACGAGCGGCGAACGGGUGAGUAACACGUGGGUGACCUGCCCUCAGCUCUGGGAUAAGCCUGGGAAACCAGGUCUAAUACCGGAUAUGACUCCAUGACGCAUGUUGUGGGGUGGAAAGCCUUGUGCGGCUGAGGAUGGGCCCGCGGCCUAUCAGCUUGUUGGUGGGGNGAUGGCCUACCAAGGCGACGACGGGUAGCCGGCCUGAGAGGGCGACCGGCCACACUGGGACUGAGACACGGCCCAGACUCCUACGGGAGGCAGCAGUGGGGAAUCUUGCGCAAUGGGCGAAAGCCUGACGCAGCGACGCCGCGUGAGGGAUGACGGCCU